ACGGCCAUACCAUAACGGCUGAAUAUACCGGUUCUCGUUAGAUCACCGAAGUGAAGCAUCAUUGGGCGCGGUCAGUACUUGGGUGGGUGACCACCUGGGAGCACCGCAUGCCGUU
rnacentral:rRNA from 1 species